CAGCCGCCACGGUAAUACGAAGGGUGCAAGCGUUAAUCGGAAUUACUGGGCGUAAAGCGUGCGUAGGCGGUUUGUUAAGUCUGUUGUGAAAUCCCCGGGCUCAACCUGGGAAUGGCAAUGGAUACUGGCAAGCUAGAGUGUGUCAGAGGAUGGUGGAAUUCCCGGUGUAGCGGUGAAAUGCGUAGAUAUGCGGAGGAACACCGAUGGCGAAGGCAGCCCCCUGGGCCAACACUGACGCUCAUGCACGAAAGCGUGGGGAGCAAACAGGAUUAGAGACCCCCGUAGUCCCUGUCUCUUAUAC
rnacentral:rRNA from 1 species